rnacentral:rRNA from 1 species
AUUGAACGCUGGCGGCAGGCCUAACCCAUGCAAGUCGAACGAGUGGCGGACGGGUGAGUAAUGUCUGGUAAACUGCCUGAUGGAGGGGGAUAACUACUGGAAACGGUAGCUAAUACCGCAUACCAUCAGAUGUGCCCAGAUGGGAUUAGCUAGUAGGUGGGGUAACGGCUCACCUAGGCGACGAUCCAUAACUGGUCUGAGAGGAUGACCAGCAACACUGGAACUGAGACACGGUCCAGACUCCUACGGGAGGCAGCAGUGGGGAAUAUUGCACAAUGGGCGCAAGCCUGAUGCAGCAAUGCCGCGUGUAUGAAGAAGGCCUUCGGGUUGUAAAGUACUUUCAGCGGGGAGGCGUUACCCGCAGAAGAAGCACCGGCUAACUCCGUGCCAGCAGCCGCGGUAAUAC